rnacentral:lncRNA from 1 species
GAGGUGGGAGAGCCAUCACUGGAGAGGUGGCAUUGGCGCCAGUACUCAGGCCAGAAGCCCCUUGUGCCCUGCUCUCAGGGGUUUCCUCCCAUAUUGGAUCACGAUGAAAACUGCACAGAAAGUCCGUGCUCAGUUUCUUCCAUGGUUACAGAACACAGGCCCCAGACCAGGAAGGCAUUCUGCUAAAGAAGGGGACCCGAAACCUCAGCUACCAGCGCCGAUGGUUCAUCCUCCGAGGAAACCUCCUCUUCUACCUAGAACACUAGACCGACCAUGCACCCCUGAGCCUCAUCCUGUUAGAGAACUGCCAGGUGGAACCACACCUUAAGGCUGCAGAACCCUAUGCCUUUACCAUCCUGACCCCUGGGGUGGAGGGCACAGGUGGGCGGGCCUACAAGCUGGCUGCAGAAACCCAGGAAGAGCUGGAGACUUGGCUGUGGG